rnacentral:rRNA from 1 species
CCCUUAGAUGUUCUGGGCAGCACGCGCGCUACAAUGGUCUUCGCAAACGGUUGCAUUCUCGAAGGAGAAUGCCAAUCUUGGAAUCUAUGCCUUGGUCGGGACAGUUGCUUGCAAUUUUUCGACUCGAACCAGGAAUUCCUUGUAAUCGUGAUUCAUCACAUCACGAUGAAUACGUCUCUGCCCUUUGUACACACCGCCCGUCGCUCCUACCGAUCGAAGAGUUAGGUGAAUUGUUUUGAUCGAUAAGAUUUGACUAUGGUCAACUCUCGUUGUGAAAUUCUGUGAAUCUGACUGUUUAGAGGAAGGAAAAGUCGUAACA